CUGAAUUACUUACAGCAGACAUUAGGGAGGGGACACAAUGUUUGUCUUACUAAUUACUAUAGGCUAGCAAGAGGAAUUGGGAAAUUACUAGAAUAGGUUAGAGAGGUGUUCAAGUAGUCCCAAGAAUUGCCAUCCAAUAGUAGUUGUGAUCAUUCUAUUCCUUUAUUGUUGGGGCUAAAGCAUGCAAGCAUGAGACCCUACUGAUAUCCUCAUUUCCACAAAGAUGAAAUUCAAAAACAGGAAAUGUUGUGUAGGGAUUAUUCGUCCUAUUAUAAGUCCUUAUUUAAUCCCAAUUAUAGAUGCUAUCUACAGAAUGUUCGUGAAGUCGUGAACUGUCAGGCUUCAGGCCCUUAACAAGAUAUGCGAUUGUGUUAUCGUCAGAUAAGGAUGGAGGAAAUAUAAAAGAGACAACCUUUAGAAGUCACGAGUGUAAUUACGAGGAUUUAGUUAUGUUGUUCGGCUUCGCCAAUGCUCCAUCUAUACUAAUAUGAAUAACUACUUUUGGCUAUAUUUGAGGGAAACGGUGCUAGUAUUCUUCCAUAGGGCUCUACGUGGCAGUAGCUUUUUCAGCACGUGGAAGAUCUAAGAUUGAGUAUCCUUUUCAAUAUGCCAUGUCAAUAUGUCAUCUCUGGUCAGGGAGAAGCAGGAAAGGAAUUGCACAGGGCUCACGGUUCAUCCUCAGAAUCAGAAACCAACUAUGAUCCCUCUCAAUUUCAUAGUAAUACUAUUCUGAUAUAAAGCUUAUCUUAUGGCUCUCCUGUGAUGAAUCUUAAUGAUUACUAUGUUAGGAUUCUUUCAGUUUUCUUUACUAAAGCUUUCUGUGAUUUGAUCUACGCUGAAUGGCAUUUGCUGAACUUGGUUGUGUUUGCUUUCGGUGUUGCCCUCACUGAAUGUGAUUGCAAGUAUAGUUGGAAGAAUUUGUUUUAAAGUCUGUUCUCAUGUUUGAGUGAGUGUUAUGCAAUCUGUGCAAAUUCUGUUAGUGGCUCUGCUUUACUAAGGUACAAUUUGGUGGUGUUGGUGUGGGAUUUGGAUUCCCUGCAGUAAGGAAUUCCACACAUUCAGGCCAUUGGUGUAUGUCUGAUCUUUGAUCAAACGGACCACAACAUACUGAUUUUAAUUUUAAUUAUACAAUUUAAAAUACCGAGUUUAAAUUUGAACUGUCUGAUCUUAAUUGAAUGAUCGCUGAUGUCCCGAAUGUGUGGAUGCGGGCUCACUGACGACAGUGAAGCCGGACCCAGUGGUGUGUAUGAGCAAGCAAGAUUUAUAGUUUUUUCCUUCCUGCUGUACACUUGAUUUUAUGCUUGGCUUGCCUGCUGAAGUGAAAGAUUGUCCAUUCUCUGUAAAUUAUCAUCUUAUGGGAGAGAAGAAAAUGGGAACUCGAAGGGUUUUUGGUUUCAAAAGUAGUUCAGCAAUAUCUAAUAACGGAUUGAUUGUCUAUUGAGUAUCGAAUUGUUUUCAAACUUCAUGUUAAAGAGUCUCAUUCGGAUGAGAUAAGGCUUCACAAAAUGUUUAUAAGUGGUGAGUAAUCUUCACCCAACAAACCGAUUUUGUGGGAGUUAUGUAAACCGAUUUUGUGGGAGUUAUGUAGGAUCUAAUUUAAAUUCUAAGAUGUAAAAACCAAUUUCUUUGAUUAUGGUAGAUUAUGAAUAACAAUUAAUACUCUUUUUUAA